UACAGAGGGUGCAAGCGUUGUUCGGAAUCAUUGGGCGUAAAGGGCGUGUAGGCGGUUUGUUAAGUCAUGUGUGAAAUCCCUCGGCUCAACCGGGGAACGACGCAUGAAACUGGCAAGCUAGAGUACCAAAGAGGGGGGUGGAAUUCCCGGUGUAGUGGUGAAAUGCGUAGAUAUCGGGAGGAACACCGAUGGCGAAGGCAGAUCUCUGGGCCGUAACUGACGCUGAGGAGCGAAAGCAUGGGGAGCGAACAGG
rnacentral:rRNA from 1 species